AUUGAACGCUGGCGGCAGGCUUAACACAUGCAAGUCGAGCGGUAACAGAGAGAAGCUUGCUUCUCUGCUGACGAGCGGCGGACGGGUGAGUAAUGCCUAGGAAUCUGCCUAGUAGUGGGGGAUAACUUGCCGAAAGGUAAGCUAAUACCGCAUACGUCCCACGGGAGAAAGGAGGGGACCUUCGGGCCUUUCGCUAUUAGAUGAGCCUAGGUCGGAUUAGUUAGUUGGUGAGGUAAUGGCUCACCAAGACCGCGAUCCGUAACUGGUCUGAGAGGAUGAUCAGUUACACUGUAACUUAGACACGGUCCAGACUCCUACGGGAGGCAGCAGUGGGGAAUAGUGGACAAUGGGGGGAACCCUGAUCCAGCCAUGCCGCGUGUGUGAAGAAGGUCUUAGGAUUGUAAAGCACUUUAAGUUGGGAGGAAGAGCAGUUAACUAAUAUUUGACUGUUUUGACGUUACCGACAGAAUAAGCACCGGCUAACUUCGUGCCAGCCGCCGCGGUAA
rnacentral:rRNA from 1 species